UACGUAGGGGGCGAGCGUUGUCCGGAGUUACUGGGCGUAAAGCGCACGUAGGCGGUUAUUUAAGUCAGGGGUGAAAUCCCAGAGCUCAACUCUGGAACUGCCUUUGAUACUGGGUAUCUUGAGUAUGGAAGAGGUGAGUGGAAUUCCGAGUGUAGAGGUGAAAUUCGUAGAUAUUCGGAGGAACACCAGUGGCGAAGGCGGCUCACUGGUCCAUUACUGACGCUGAGGUGCGAAAGCGUGGGGAGCAAACAGG
rnacentral:rRNA from 1 species